UCCGGCGGCAGGCAUGUUCUCCUCCCCGGACCAGGCCGCACCGCCCCUGGUUAGCACCCGCCUCAGCGUCUCCGCCAUUCGCCGCGUAGCUCUGACCAAUCGGUGGCUCGUUCCCAGCCUUAGUCCCGCCCAAGCCGUGGCCGCAUCGAGAUGGGGUUUCACCAUGUUGGCGAGGCUGGUCUCAAACUCCUGACCUCAGAUGAUCCGCCUGUCUUGGCCUCCCAGAGUGCCAGGAUUAUAGGCAUGAGCCACUGUGUCUGGCCUGUCUUCACAUCUUGACAGAAGAAGAUUUACCAUAGAGGAGAAUCAUGGAGGAAUGUACCUGCCUGCAGAGACAUGGUCUUGCUCUGUCACCCAGGCUACAGUGCAGUGGCAUCAUCACAGCUCACGACAGUCUCGACUUCCUGGGCUCAAGGGACUCCCAUCUCAGCCUCCUGCAUAGCCGGGACUACAGGUACGCACCAACAUGCCCAGCUAAUUUUAAAAUAUAUAUAUAUAUAUAUAUUUGAACAGACGGGGGUCUCACUAUGUUGCCCAGGUCAUUCUCCAACUCCUAAGCUCAAGCAAUCCUCUGGCCUUGGCCUCCCAAAGUAUUGGGAUUACAGGUGUGGAGACCAGGCCCCAUUUACCUUGUUUGUUGUCUUACAUAUUAGAACGCUCACAUCCGUGACAGCAGAGGUUUGUGUCUGUUGUUUACUGCUGUAACCUCCCCCUGCCACAACCCCCACCCUGUGCCUAACUAAACAGCACCUGUGCUUUGGUCUGAAUGUUUGUGCCCCUUCCCCCGGUUCAUAUGUUGAAAUCCUAACCCACAGUGAUAGGAGGUGGGGGCCUUUUAAAGGUGAUUAGGUCAUAAGGGUGGAGUCCUCAUGAAUGGGAUUAGUGCUCUUAUAAAAGAGGCCCCAGAGAGCUUCUCCACCUUCUGCCAUGUGAGACUAGAGUGAGUCUAUGAGGAAGCAGGCCCUCACUGGCCACCGAAUCUGCUGGGGCCUUGAUCUUGGACUUCCCAGCCUUCAAAACUGUGAGCAAUAAACUUCUGUUAGGCCAGGGGUGGUAGCUCAUGUCUGUAAUCCCAGCACUUUGGGAGGCUGGGGUGGGUGAACCACUUGAGCCCAGGAGUUCAAGACCAGCCCGAGGAACAUGGCACAACCCUGUCUCUAUUAAAAAAAUAGGCCAGGUAUAGCGGCUCAUGCCUAUAAUCCCAGCACUUUGGGAGGCUGAGGCAGGCAGAUCACAAGGUCAGGAGUUCGAGACCACCCUGGCCAAUACGGUGAAACCCCAUCUCUACUGAAAAUACAAAAAUUUGCCGGGCGUGGUGGUGGGUGCCUGUAAUCCCAGCUACUUGGGAGGCUGAGGCAGGAGAAUCGCUUGAACCCAGGAGGCAGAGGUUGCAGUGAGCCGAGAUCGUGCCAUUGCACUCCAGCCUGGCGACAGAGCAAAACUCCAUCUUAACAAAAAAAGACACACACACACAAUAAAAAUAAGCCACGAUGCCCAGCCAAGAAAUUUAUUUUUUAAUAAUUAG
rnacentral:lncRNA from 10 species